UAAUUGCUAUUUUUUUAAUGAAACAUUUACUGAACAAUGAAACAACAAUCACUGAACUUCAAGUUGGAUAUAACUUAGAGGUGUUGGAAACUUUGUCAAGAAAUCCAAAUUCACAAUUCACACAACGCUUAACUUGGGAGAUUAAAGAGAGAAAGAGCGGACACGGUCACUGUCGCAUAUCCAGCAUCCAGCUGAGCGUUGAUGCUGUUAUAAAGAAAAAAAGUCCGUUGACAAGUGAUACGAAGAGAAAGGCAGCUGUUGUUUCCAAAGAGCAGAGGAAAACCGGUGGUGGCUCCCUCAUUGACAGUGGCAGAAACCCCUACUCUUUUCAGGAAAGUUAAUAAUGAAGUUUCUCCACCCGGGACAACUUACGCGUUUUCAUUGUGACGGAGUGGCUGCAUAUGUGUCAGCCUUAGAAAGGGCGAGCGAGGACUGAUGUGGAUGCAGAGAGAGACGGUGAAUAAUGAUCCAGUCAUAAACGAGACACACCUCAACUCUCAACCAUGUCAGGGAGGAGACCCCGGAAUGCCAACGAGAACUCAACGCCGCUGCCAUCACACCAGCGGAGGUCAAGACUGAGCCCUGAGGGAGAACAGGGCGUCUGAUAGCCGUUGACAGCUGCACUAAUCUCUGAAACACAACCCCAGAUGAGAGUGAGGAGGGAUGAAGCCAAAGCCCUCGGCCCCUUCACAACAUUCAGCACUGAACCACUUACCUGGGCCAUUAGCUGUAUCUUGCCAUUCAGCACAGAUCAGCAUUACACACCACACGCAGAGCUUGGCCACUUUAUGGGGCUUUUUACCCAUGGUUGUUUAUCCUGUCUCCCUUCUACUUUUCUCCCAGGAGCAAUUUACCCACAAUACCACCUUUCUGGAUUUAUAAAAGCGCUGCUCAUUCAGCUACGGGCUGAUGCAGGCUAGAAUUUGAGAGGUCAAAGGGAAACACUAUCUGUGCCCUCAAGGCUUUGCAGGAAGGCUAUUUGCAGUGUCAUAUGUGACUGCUGAUACAUAAGCAAGUUCACCAUAUCAACUUCACUAGUUGAUAAUAUGUCAACAUUGUGUUUGAAGCUUGUGUUGCCCCACUUGGCCAAAAAAUUAAAGCAAAUGUAUACAAUAUACAUGUAGAAGCUGAAAAGAAAUGACUAAAUCUACAUUAUUUUUGCUCAAAAACGAAAAAAAAAAUAGAUUUCCCCAUUCCGCUUAAAUGCCAAAAUUGAAUCAACUGUUGUCCAUGUCGAGGUCUAUUCAACAAAAAACAUCAUGAAUAUCAAGGUAUAAGAUAUCCAGUUGACGGAAAGACAGGCAGACUGACGGAGAGACAUACAGUGCUUUCUCUGUGAAAUUGAUAAGGUGUUUAUGUUAGUUUUAACACAUGAGCCAUAAUGUCAGUAAAGCACGAUUUCUUC